AGACACAGGCAAAGUGCCUGUAAAUAAACCCUGAGUGGGCAACAUGAAUGGCCGCAGACCAGACAAAAUGAGAAUCCAGUUAAACAAGUGCAUGAAAUAUGCCCCUUAGUCCACUCAGCCUGCAACACAAAAGCACAGAACAGGCAGCUUCUAAACCACAGACAUUGACUUCCGUUCUGGAGGCCGGAAGUCCAAGAUGGAGGGUCCCGCAGAUUCCGUGUCUGAUUGUUGCAGCAGAUCCAACUGAAGGAUACACCAACCAUUUUAAUCGGACACAAAAGAACAGGCUGUCCUCACCUGACCACCACCCACAACAACCGAACUUUAAUCAGACACAAAAGAACAGGCUGUCACCUGACCACCACCCACAACAACCGAAGGGCAGGGUUAUACUUUCGACACAACAAGACACAAUUGCACCAACUUCUCUACCAUGUUGUGGCAAAGAUCAUCUCCUGCGUUUUCCAAUAGCAUGUUCCUAUUUCCGUCUGAGCCCUCCCCAGAAUCACCUUUAACAUCCAUAUGUCUACCAACUGUAUCUUCAGAACAAUUGAGUCUUCUUCUGACAUAAAUGUUAAAACUCUC
rnacentral:lncRNA from 1 species